UACGAAGGGGGCUAGCGUUGUUCGGAUUUACUGGGCGUAAAGCGCACGUAGGCGGAUCGUUAAGUCGAGGGUGAAAUCCUGGGGCUCAACCCCAGAACUGCCUUCGAUACUGGCGAUCUCGAGUUCGGGAGAGGUGAGUGGAACUGCGAGUGUAGAGGUGAAAUUCGUAGAUAUUCGCAAGAACACCAGUGGCGAAGGCGGCUCACUGGCCCGAUACUGACGCUGAGGUGCGAAAGCGUGGGGAGCAAACAGG
rnacentral:rRNA from 1 species